rnacentral:rRNA from 1 species
CCUACGGGAGGCAGCAGUGAGGAAUAUUGGUCAAUGGGCGCGAGCCUGAACCAGCCAAGUCGCGUGAGGGAAGACGGUCCUAUGGAUUGUAAACCUCUUUUGUCGGGGAGCAAAAGACGCCACGCGUGGCGUUCCGAGAGUACCCGAAGAAAAAGCAUCGGCUAACUCCGUGCAAGCAGCCGCGGUAAUACGGAGGAUGCGAGCGUUAGCCGGAUUUAUCGGGGUUAACGGGUGCGCAGGCGGAAUGUCAAGUCAGCGGUAAAAUUUCGGGGCUCAACCCCGUCGUGCCGUUGAAACUGGCGGUCUUGAGUGAGCGAGAAGUAUGCGGAAUGCGUGGUGUAGCGGUGAAAUGCAUAGAUAUCACGCAGAACUCCGAUUGCGAAGGCAGUAUACCGGCGCUCAACUGACGCUCAUGCACGAAAGCGUGGGUAUCGAACAGGAUUAGAUACCCGAGUAGUC